UACGGAGGGUGCAAGCGUUAUCCGGAUUUACUGGGCUUAAAGGGUGUGUAGGCGGGCCUUUAAGUCUGGGGUGAAAUCUCCGAGCUCAACUCGGAAACUGCCCUGGAUACUAUUGGUCUUGAAUUAUGUUGAGGUUGGCGGAAUAUAACAUGUAGCGGUGAAAUGCAUAGAUAUGUUAUAGAACACCGAUUGCGAAGGCAGCUAACUAAGCAUAUAUUGACGCUGAGGCACGAAAGCGUGGGGAUCAAACAGG
rnacentral:rRNA from 1 species